rnacentral:rRNA from 1 species
UACGUAGGGGGCUAGCGUUGUCCGGAUUUAUUGGGCGUAAAGAGCGUGUAGGCGGCCAUGUAGGUCCGGUGUGAAAACUCGAGGCUUAACCUCGAGAUGUCAUCGGAAACCAUUUGGCUAGAGUCCGGAAGAGGCGAGUGGAAUUCCUGGUGUAGCGGUGAAAUGCGCAGAUAUCAGGAGGAACACCAAUGGCGAAGGCAGCUCGCUGGGACGUGACUGACGCUGAGACGCGAAAGCGUGGGGAGCAAACAGG